rnacentral:ncRNA from 1 species
GAAAUUAUAAGCAAAAUAUUUUAUGGAAAUCGGUGAAAAACCGAUGCGGUGCCGCCACUGUAAGACGGAGUCGGAUAUAGCAGGACACUGGACAUUACGUCCGGGAAGUCAUAUCCAGAUGUUGAAGUCAAGCCAGGAUACUUAAAUAUUUUGUUGGUAAACU